GUCCGACUGACGAGUCCAAAAAAGGACGAAACGCGCGUCCUUGAU
rnacentral:hammerhead_ribozyme from 1 species